CUCCGAGGUGAAUGAUUAAAAGGGAAUCAAGGUGAGAAUCCUGAACAGUCCCGCUGCUGUAUGUUUCACUAAACGCAUAAGCAAAAUGCCAAUAACCACUGGGAUAAUUUCCGGGAAGGUGCUUAUAGCGGAAACGAGUCAGAAGACCUGCCUGUGCAUUUA
rnacentral:ncRNA from 1 species